rnacentral:lncRNA from 1 species
ACCUCAUGCGCUCAUAGCUCGUUCUGCGCCACCUGCUCCCCAAUCCUGCUCAACCGCAAAAAAAGAAACACGUUGCGGCCUUGGUAUCAUGCGUGUCCGAAGUGGCCUUCCGCACCUCCAUGUCCCAGCUCAGUCAGUAUUGCACAGAGUCACACACAUCUAAACUGUGGUGUCACACACGAGGUCACUUCAAUGCUGUCAGAACUGUCAGAUGGCCCUUGUCUGCUGCUUGCCUUACUUCGGCAACUUGCGUUAACAGUCAAUCAUUGACACACACAAACGUGGGUAAACGGGGGUGGCCAAGCCCCGAACUAGACUAGUGCUCACC